CCAGUCACUGUUGGAGGCACAUAGCCACGACAAAAUCUCAUGCUGUACAUUGAUCACCUGUCCAACCUUUGCCUAGAGUGUGAUCCCCUGUUCCUUCAAGAGAGCCAUCUUUACCUGUCUAAAAAGAAGAGGAGGAGAAUCAAGUAACAGUUUACCUCCAGAGCAGUUAACAGAGGGGCUGGAUAAAGAAAAAGAAGAAAAAAAAAGGCAGCACUGCAGAAAUAUUCUGACAAUCUAUUGCAGUGGAUCUCACAUCACUCCCCACAACAGCCCGAAGUGGCUCACAGAAGAUGAGUUCAUAUUUAUUUUAUCAGAUGAAAUGCCGCACACCUUGAUGUUUUCACCAUAAUUACACAUCAACUGCCAUGAAGUUGAAUACAUGGAAGGCAGAGGAGUGGAGGUUGAAACCUACAAAUCCUCCAUUUUCAUCUUCAACAAGUUUUGUGCGUUUGGAUUUUGGCAAUCUGACCACCCGUUCCAAAUGUUAUUAUUUAAUAAAGUUUAGUUCUAAGCCUUAUUGUGAAAUACUUUUUUUGAUAAAUUAACACCGAGUUGAUUGUAAUGUGUAUGAAUUUCAAUUUCAAAGCAGUAUCUUCAUUGCCACUGAUUCUGCAAAUUUUAAUCCAAGGUGUCAUUUCUAAGGUACUAGAUUACUGAAAAGGUAGAAAUAAAUUGGCAAUUAGUGUUAUCAGCACAAUUUUCCUUCCCAGUUAUGUGAGAAAACAAAUGAAUAUAUGAGAUUUUUCUCUCCUCUGUUUCUUUUUGGCUGCAAUUAAAAUAAUCGCAUUUUGAUAGUAUAACCAGUAGUAUCUCUGGGCAAGGUUGGAAUUGAAAUCAAUUUUUGGAACCAAUAAGGUUGUGAAAACAUGGUGUGUGUGUGUCUGACAAUGCAUGAGGCAUCUAAAUUGAUCAUACAUAAUUUAAUGUACAAUGUUUAUAUAUUCAUGGAUGGUAAAAAGCUUAAGGUCCCUACACAUAUAUAUGUGAUGUGUUUACAUACUUGCUUAUAUCUGUAUUUGAACCUCAGACUUUUACCUUCCAGUCUCAUACAUGUGUUUCAUAUAAAAACUGGGACUCGAAUAUUUCACAAUAGGAAUUAUGUGAAAACAGUAUAUGCAUUAGAUUUCAGGAAAAUAAAGUAUUAUUUGCUGUUAUUUUGGGGUUUAAAAAACAUAGUCUCCAACAUAGAUCCAAAUGAAUUUUUGAUGUUAAGCGAAUAAGAUCAUCCAAGGAUGAAGAGCAAUCAAAAGCUGUGCGUGUGUGUAUAUAUUUCUACAAAUGAUGUACAUGAAGUGAAGAGUCAACAUUUUACCACAUGCCCAGGAUAAGAAACAGCAUUUUGAGUUCUUUACAUAUGGUGAUAUGGUACAAGUGAGAGUUAAGUCUAUUACUUCCUCUACAAAAGUAUACUUACAAUUUCAUUCAGCUCCUGAUUGAGUUUGGCAAACAUGUGCAAAUAUUCAGCUGUUAUAGUGAUGCAUUUUAAUUGUCAAUGGAAGAAAUACUUCCAUGUAAACAUGAGUGGGAGUGGAAUAUCUGUGUUUUUAAAGGACAAACAGUGAAUUUAAGCAUGAGUGGCCUUAAUAAUUCAAGUUAUUUUUCUUUGCUGCUGUGGAAAAGAAUUAUCAACUGAUACUCCUGAAUUCUUGCACUGAAUUAACUCAACAGUUACUUUUGAAAUUGCUGGUGAAGUUAACUCCAGACAUCCUUUGUGAGCCAUAGAGAUAAUUAAAAAAUAAAAUCUAGAAAAAUGAUUGUUUAGAAAGAGGAAACAGAUUUUAAUUGCACCAUUGCUUUUGGUGCACUAACAGUAACUCAUUCAAGAAAGUUUCCUGCCUCUGGUUAUGUUAUUGUUUUCAUUAAGUAUAGUGAAAUGUGUAGGCCUAUAAGUGUAACAUAAGUAAUCCAAAUACAUUCAUGUUUAAAAGUUUGUCCUUUAAUGAUCAAAGACAUUUUAGAUCCUUGUUUUGAAGAUAGCAAAGUUCUUGAGAGUUAAUUUAGCACAUAUGACAAAUGUUGCACUUGCAAAACAUAGACAACAAACUGGUGUCCUGUGAAAAUUUUGUUGUCCUCGUAAGGGAUAAUACUUUGGGUCUUUUACAAUCAGGUCUUUACCUUAACUCUGCAACUGAAUACUUGAAGUAGGAAUUAAACUAGCAAAAAUUAGGGUCAACAAACUGUAUAGUUAGGAAUAUUUAUAUGUAUGUGCCAAUUUUGUCAUAGGUAUUGUUUUAGGAGCAUUUUUGCUCCGUUCAUGUUGCUAAGAGUAUUAUUGAUCAAACUUUAUCAGGGCAUAUAAUUUAGUCCCUACAAAAAGUCAAAUUUUGUCAAAAAUAACUUUUUUUCCAUUUCAUGUAUUAGUCUACAAUGUUUGAGGAAAAUCUUUUCGUACAUUAAAAAUACAAUCUCUGGGUUUACAACAAACACUGUGAUGUUGGGAAAAUACUUUAUUUGAGUAAUGUUCAAACAUUACAUGCCCUCCAACCUCUCCCAAAGUUUAUCAAAGUGAAAUGAUGUUUGGGCUAACAUUUACAAUGAAUGACUCUAAUUUUAUGUGGAAUCAGGCCUGUACUUCAUAUCCUUUCUUUAAUUUCAAUGUACAACAUCAAUUUUGUAUUUAAAUUUUGUGUAUCUAGUAUGCAUGUAACUGCACAUUGACCUUCAUUUGAGUGGUUUCAAUUUAUUUUUUAAAUAGUGUUUCUUAUGAGACCUCAAAUGUGUUGACAUAAACUAUAUCUGCAGUGUUUUUGUGUAGAAUGAUGUUUGAACGUGAUGUACUGCAACAGUGGGCCCGUAAUCCUAUUUCCCUGAGACCUUCAUUUGAUAGUGCUUCUUGUAAUAAUUUCUUCAAGUGAGUGGCAUGUGGACUGUGAUUAAUGAUAUGUGGUUAAGGACAUUGAUAUGAAAAUAACUAAGGAAUUCUCUGAAAUUACCAGUGGGCAUGUAUUAGACCGUCAUUGUAAUUUACUGUCUAGUUAUGUAGUUUAAAGUACAAAGUUAUGUAGAAUUCAUAACAUUGUUAUCAUGUGUAUGAGAAGUACUUACUGUUGAUCAGCUUGUUUAUAUUCAUCAAAUAAACUUUUUCUUUCUUUCUGA